GAUGAACGCUGGCGGCGUGCCUAACACAUGCAAGUCGAACGGAAAGGCGCUGCUUUUGUGGGGUGCUCGAGUGCCGAACGGGUGAGUAACACGCGUGUAACCUGCACUUGUCUUUGGGAUAACUUCAGGAAACUGGGGCUAAUAUCGGAUAGGAGCUCCCGCUCCGCGGUGUGCGUUGGAAAGUUUCGGCGGUUGUGGAUGGACUCGCGGCUUAUCCGCUUGAUGGUGGGGUAGUGGCUUACAAAGGGUUUGACGGAUAGCCGGCCUGAGAGGGUGACCGGCCACAAGGCUCCUACGAGACGGCGCAGACGGGAACGUGAGGCAGCGGUGGGAAGCAUUGCACAAUGAGCCGGAGCCAGAUACGAAGGCGCCGCGUGCGUGAAGACCGCCUACUGGGUAAGAACCACUGUCGCAUGAGACGAGGCGUGAGUGACGGUAAUGAAUAAAGAAGCACCGGCUAACUACGUG
rnacentral:rRNA from 1 species